GAUGAAGAACGUAGCGAAAUGCGAUAAGUAAUGUGAAUUGCAGAAUUCAGUGAAUCAUCGAAUCUUUGAACGCACCUUGCACCCUUUGGUAUUCCAAAGGGUAUGCUUGUUUGAGUGUCAUUGUACUCUCACACUCUCUGAUCCUUUGGAUUGGGAGUGGUGGACUUGGGUGUUGCUGCAGCAGCUCUUACUGCGUGGCUCACCUCAAAUGCAUUAGUGCAACUCCUGGUUGGACAUAGUACGGCGUGAUAAGUGUCUUCGCCGGCACCUCACAGAGGGUGGCUGAUCGGGAGCUCUGUGCUUCAAACCGUCCUCGGACAACAGCUGACAACUUGACCUCAAAUCGAGUAGGACUACCCGCUGAACUUAAGCAUAUCAAUAAGCGGAGGA
rnacentral:misc_RNA from 1 species